AUGAAAGCAAUAGCUGAACAAACAGAUGAAACAAAAUCUUGGGUAUUCCUUGGAACUGUUACUGGGGCACCAAGACUGCUGCUGUGUAGAUGCUACCUGGUGGUACUUUCUGCUGCCACUGCAGCAGUCCCCUCUCUGAAGAGUGCAGCCCUCCUCAGUCCAGGGGUAUUACAGGCAACAAGGAUCUUUCAUACAGGGCCACCAAGUCUUGCCUCUGUACCACCUCUUCCUGAAUAUGGAGAAAAAGUUCAUUUUGGGCUGAUCCCUGAGGAGUUCUUCCAGUUCCUUUAUCCUGAAACUGGUGUAACAGUAACCUAUGUGCUCAGAACUGGGCUUAUCUUAUAUUUACUCUCCAAAGAAAUAUACGUGAUAACUCCAGAGACUUUCUCAACCAUAUCAACAAUAGGAUUGCUUGUCUAUGUAGUUAAAAAAUAUGGUGCCUCUAUUGGGGAAUUUGCUGAUAAACUCAAUGAGCAAAAAAUUGCCCAACUGGAAGAGGCAAAACAGUCUUCCAUCAAACAAAUCCAGGAUGCGAUUGAUCUGAAGAAGUCAGAGUAGGCACUGGUUCAAAAGCUCCAUUACCUUUUUGAUGUCCAAAGGAAUAACAUUGCUAUGGCCUUGGAGGUUACUUAAUGGGAACGGUUGCAUAGAGUAUACAAGGAGAUAAAGAAUCGCCUGGACUAUCAUAUCUCUGUGCAGAAUAUGAUGCAUCAAAAGGAACAAGAGCACAUGAUAGACUGGGUGGAGAAACAUGUGGUGCAGAGCAUCUAUGCACAGGAGGAGAAGGAGACAAUUGACAAGUGCAUUGCACAUCUAAAGCUGCUCGCAAAGAAGGCUAAAGCACAGCCAGUUCUGUAAAUGCAUCUAUCCCAACUGAGAGAGCUAGAAAUAGUUGACUGACUAAAUGGAAACUAGCCUAUGUGACAGAAUCUUUGUAUAUCGCUGUCUACUGAAGUUAGAGUUGAUCUUUCUUAAAAAUGAAAAGUUUGAGUUUCAUAUAAUGCGAGAAAUAAAACAGUCUAUUGGCCAGUAAGAUGUUUCUCUCAUCCUUCUUGCUCUGCAUUGAAUUGUUCCAUGAUCACUUCUGAAUAAGCAGUUUGCUUUGAAUGAAAUUUGGUACUGGACUAAAGAUUAUCAAGUUAUAGUUUAAAUUUUUAAUUAAUUCAACCAUCUUGCAAUAAAGUGACAGUUGAAA